CCUACGGGAGGCAGCAGUGGGGGAUAUUGCACAAUGGGGGAAACCCUGAUGCAGCGACGCCGCGUGUGGGAAGACGGUCCUCUGGAUUGUAAACCACUGUCCCCAGGGACGAAGAUGACGGUACCUGGGGAGGAAGCUCCGGCUAACUACGUGCCAGCAGCCGCGGUAAUACGUAGGGAGCGAGCGUUGUCCGGAAUUACUGGGGGAAAAGGGAGCGUAGGCGGGACUGCAAGUUGGGUGUCAAAUCUACCGGCUCAACCGGUAGCCGCACUCAAAACUGCAGUUCUUGAGUGAAGGAGAGGCAGGCGGAAUUCCUGGUGUAGCGGUGAAAUGCGUAGAUAUUAGGAGGAACACCAGUGGCGAAGGCGGCCUGCUGGGCUUUUACUGACGCUGAGGCUCGAAAGUGUGGGGAGCAAACAGGAUUAGAUACCCGAGUAGUC
rnacentral:rRNA from 1 species